rnacentral:rRNA from 1 species
UAGGGAAUCUUCGGCAAUGGACGAAAGUCUGACCGAGCAACGCCGCGUGAGUGAAGAAGGUUUUCGGAUCGUAAAACUCUGUUGUUAGAGAAGAACAAGGACGUUAGUAACUGAACGUCCCCUGACGGUAUCUAACCAGAAAGCCACGGCUAACUACGUGCCAGCAGCCGCGGUAAUACGUAGGUGGCAAGCGUUGUCCGGAUUUAUUGGGCGUAAAGCGAGCGCAGGCGGUUUCUUAAGUCUGAUGUGAAAGCCCCCGGCUCAACCGGGGAGGGUCACUGGAAAAGUUCCGACUGGAGUGCAGAAGAGGAGAGUGGAAUUCCAUGUGUAGCGGUGAAAUGCGUAGAUAUAUGGAGGAACACCAGUGGCGAAGGCGGCUCUCUGGUCUGUAACUGACGCUGAGGCUCGAAAGCGUGGGGAGCAAACAGG